CCUACGGGCGGCAGCAGUGGGGAAUAUUGCACAAUGGGGGAAACCCUGAUGCAGCGACGCCGCGUGAGUGAAGAAGUAAUUCGUUAUGUAAAGCUCUAUCAGCAGGGAAGAAAAUGACGGUACCUGAGUCAGAAGCCCCGGCUAACUACGUGCCAGCAGCCGCGGUAAUACGUAGGGGGCAAGCGUUAUCCGGAUUUACUGGGUGUAAAGGGAGCGUAGACGGCAGUGCAAGUCUGGAGUGAAAGGCGGGGGCUCAACCCCCGGACUGCUCUGGAAACUGUACGGCUGGAGUGCAGGAGAGGUAAGUGGAAUUCCUAGUGUAGCGGUGAAAUGCGUAGAUAUUAGGAGGAACACCAGUGGCGAAGGCGGCUUACUGGACUGUAACUGACGUUGAGGCUCGAAAGCGUGGGGAGCAAACAGGAUUAGAUACCACAGUAGUC
rnacentral:rRNA from 1 species